GCCGGUGAUGACUAUGUUAUAUUGACAGAAGCAAAUAAAAAUUUGCGUUUAUGUUGAUAAAAAUUAUCAUGAACUAGGACGGUCUGAGGC
rfam:Prunus persica cultivar Lovell chromosome G1, whole genome shotgun sequence.